rnacentral:SRP_RNA from 1 species
GCCAGGCGUGGUGGUGGGCGCCUGUAAUCCCAGCUACUUGGGAGGUUGAGGCAGGGGAAUCGCUUGAACCCAGGAGGCUGAGGUUGCAGUGAGUCGAGAUCAUGCCACUGCACUCCAGCCUGGGUAACAGAGUGAGACUCCGUCUCAA